GCUUGCUACUUUGCUGACGAGCGGCGGACGGGUGAGUAAUGCUUGGGAACAUGCCUUGAGGUGGGGGACAACAGUUGGAAACGACUGCUAAUACCGCAUAAUGUCUACGGACCAAAGGGGGCUUCGGCUCUCGCCUUUAGAUUGGCCCAAGUGGGAUUAGCUAGUUGGUGAGGUAAUGGCUCACCAAGGCAACGAUCCCUAGCUGGUUUGAGAGGAUGAUCAGCCACACUGGGACUGAGACACGGCCCAGACUCCUACGGGAGGCAGCAGUGGGGAAUAUUGCACAAUGGGCGCAAGCCUGAUGCACCCAUGCCGCGUGUGUGAAGAAGGCCUUCGGGUUGUAAAGCACUUUCAGUCAGGAGGAAAGGUUAGUAGUUAAUACCUGCUAGCUGUGACGUUACUGACAGAAGAAGCACCGGCUAACUCCGUGCCAGCAGCCGCGGUAAUACAGAGGGUGCGAGCGUUAAUC
rnacentral:rRNA from 1 species